UCAGUCGACUCCUACGGGGAGGCAGCAGUGGGGGAAUAUUGCACAAUGGGCGCAAGCCUGAUGCAGCCAUGCCGCGUGUAUGAAGAAGGCCUUCGGGUUGUAAAGUACUUUCAGCAGUGAGGAAGGCGGAGUCGUUAAUAGCGGCCUCGUUUGACGUUAGCUGCAGAAGAAGCACCGGCUAACUCCGUGCCAGCAGCCGCGGUAAUACGGAGGGUGCGAGCGUUAAUCGGAAUUACUGGGCGUAAAGCGCAUGCAGGUGGUUUGUUAAGUCAGAUGUGAAAGCCCGGGGCUCAACCUCGGAAUUGCAUUUGAAACUGGCAGACUAGAGUACUGUAGAGGGGGGUAGGAAUUUCAGGUGUAGCGGUGAAAUGCGUAGAGAUCUGAAGGAAUACCGGUGGCGAAGGCGGCCCCCUGGACAGAUACUGACACUCAGAUGCGAAAGCGUGGGGAGCAAACAGGAUUAGAUACCCUGGUAG
rnacentral:rRNA from 1 species